rnacentral:rRNA from 1 species
GCAACGAGCGCAACCCUUGUCUUUAAUUGCCAGCAUUCAGUUGGGCACUUUAAAGAGACUGCCGGUGUUAAACCGGAGGAAGGUGGGGAUGACGUCAAGUCCUCAUGGCCUUUAUGCUUAGGGCUACACACGUGCUACAAUGGGUGGUACAAAGAGAAGCCAACUCGCGAGAGCGCGCCAAUCUCAAAAAGCCAUCCUCAGUUCGGAUUGGAGUCUGCAACUCGACUCCAUGAAGUUGGAAUCGCUAGUAAUCGCGGAUCAGCAUGCCGCGGUGAAUACGUUCCCGGGCCUU